GUGCCAGCAGCCGCGGUAAUACGGAGGGUGCAAGCGUUAAUCGGAAUUACUGGGCGUAAAGCGUGCGUAGGUGGUUUGUUAAGUCAGAUGUGAAAGCCCCGGGCUCAACCUGGGAACUGCAUUUGAAACUGGCUAACUAGAGUAUAGGAGAGGAAAGUGGAAUUUCAGGUGUAGCGGUGAAAUGCGUAGAUAUCUGAAGGAACAUCAAUGGCGAAGGCAGCUUUCUGGACUAAUACUGACACUGAGGUACGAAAGCGUGGGUAGCAAACAGGAUUAGAUACCCUGGUAGUCCACGCCGUAAACGAUGACAACUAGCCGUUGGGAGGAUUCACCUCUUAGUGGCGAAGCUAACGCGUUAAGUUGUCCGCCUGGGGAGUACGGCCGCAAGGCUAAAACUCAAAGGAAUUGACGGGGACCCGCACAAGCGGUGGAGCAUGUGGUUUAAUUCGAUGCAACGCGAAAAACCUUACCUGGUCUUGACAUACAC
rnacentral:rRNA from 1 species